rnacentral:rRNA from 1 species
AGUCACUGCUAUCGGUGUUCGAUUAAGCCAUGCGAGUCGAGAGGGGUCAUGCCCUCGGCGUACUGCUCAGUAACACGUGGACAACCUGCCCAAAGGUCCGGGAUAACCCCGGGAAACUGGGGAUAAUACCGGAUAGAUCAAAUGUGCUGGAAGGCUGUUUGGUCGAAACUUCCGGGGCCUUUGGAUGGGUCUGCGGCUGAUUAGGUUGUUGCCGGUGUAACGUACCGUCAAGCCUGUAAUCAGUACGGGUUGUGGGAGCAAGAGCCCGGAGAUGGAUUCUGAGACACGAAUCCAGGCCCUACGGGGCGCAGCAGGCGCGAAAACUCUACAAUGCAGGCAACUGCGAUAGGGGAACAUCGAGUGAUACUCAUCUUGGGUGUCUGUCCUUCCGUCUAAAAAACGGGAGUUAGCAAGGGCCGGGCAAGACCGGUGCCAGCCGCCGCGGUAAUACCGGCGGCUCGAGUGGUGGCCGAUAUUAUUGAGUCUAAAGGGUCCGUAGCCGGCUUUGCAAGUCUUUUGGGAAAUCCAGCGGCUUAACCGUUGGUCGUCCGGGAGAUACUACAUUGCUUGGGACUGGGAGAGGCGUGAGGUACUCAGGGGGUAGGAGUGAAAUCCUGUAAUCCUUUGGGGACCACCGGUGGCGAAGGCGUCACGCCAGAACAGGUCCGACGGUGAGGGACGAAAGCUAGGGGCACGAACCGGAUUAGAUACCCGGGUAGUCCUAGCCGUAAACGAUGCUCGCUAGGUGUCACAACAAUCGUGAAUUGUUGUGGUGCCGUAGGGAAGCCGUGAAGCGAGCCACUUGGGAAGUACGACCGCAAGGUUGAAACUUAAAGGAAUUGGCGGGGGAGCACCACAACGGGUGGAGCCUGCGGUU